rnacentral:rRNA from 1 species
GUGGGGAAUCUUCCGCAAUGGACGAAAGUCUGACGGAGCAACGCCGCGUGAACGAUGACGGCCUUCGGGUUGUAAAGUUCUGUUAUACGGGACGAAUGGUACGACGGCCAAUACCCGUCGUAAGUGACGGUACCGUAAGAGAAAGCCACGGCUAACUACGUGCCAGCAGCCGCGGUAAUACGUAGGUGGCAAGCGUUGUCCGGAAUUAUUGGGCGUAAAGGGCGCGCAGGCGGCGUCGUAAGUCGGUCUUAAAAGUGCGGGGCUUAACCACGUGAGGGGACCGAAACUGCGAUGCUAGAGUAUCGGAGAGGAAAGCGGAAUUCCUAGUGUAGCGGUGAAAUGCGUAGAUAUUAGGAGGAACACCAGUGGCGAAAGCGGCUUUCUGGACGACAACUGACGCUGAGGUGCGAAAGCCAGGGGAGCAAACGGGAUUAGAAACCCGUGUAGUCC